ACCCCACACUAAUUAAGCCGACCUUCUCGACAUAUCUUUAUCAGAAGUGUGCGCUCGUUGUGGGAACAGCAAAGUCUGCGCAUUGUGUAUGGUUGUUUGGUUUUCUCCUAUAUUCAACCAAAGAAUUAGCGCAGGACA
rnacentral:snoRNA from 1 species